GAUGAAGAACGUAGCGAAAUGCGAUAAGUAAUGUGAAUUGCAGAAUUCAGUGAAUCAUCGAAUCUUUGAACGCACAUUGCGCCGCUAGUAUUCUGGCGGGCAUGCCUGUCCGAGCGUCAUUUCAACCCUCAAGCCCCCGGGCUUGGUGUUGGGGAUCGGCGAGCCUCCGCGCCCGCCGUCCCCUAAAUCUAGUGGCGGUCUCGCUGUAGCUUCCUCUGCGUAGUAGCACACCUCGCACUGGGAAACAGCGCGGCCACGCCGUUAAACCCCCAACUUCUGAACGUUUGACCUCGGAUCAGGUAGGAAUACCCGCUGAACUUAAGCAUAUCAAUAAGCGGAGGA
rnacentral:misc_RNA from 1 species